rnacentral:rRNA from 1 species
GAUGAACGCUGGCGGCGUGCUUAACACAUGCAAGUCGAACGUGAGAGGUAGCAAUAUCUUGAAAGUGGCGAACGGGUGAGUAACACGUAGGUGACCUGCCUCGGAGUGGGGAUAACAGUUAGAAAUGACUGCUAAUACCGCAUGAAUCCACGGGAUUGGGAAAUUCGGUGGAGAAAACUCUGGUGCUUCGAGAGGGCCUGCGGUCGAUUAGCUAGUUGGCGGGUAACGGCCCACCAAGGCGACGAUCGAUAGCUGGUCUGAGAGGACGAUCAGCCACACGGGAACUGAGACACGGUCCCGACUCCUACGGGGGCGAGCAGUGAGGAAUAUUGGGCGAAUGGGCGGAAGCCUGACCCAGCAACGCCGCGUGAAGGAAUGAA